ACUAGCUGACGAGUCCCAAAUAGGACGAAAUGCGCAUGCUCAAC
rnacentral:hammerhead_ribozyme from 1 species